CAAUAAGCGGAGGAAAAGAAACCAACAGGGAUUGCCUCAGUAACGGCGAGUGAAGCGGCAACAGCUCAAAUUUGAAAUCUGGCUCUUUCAGGGUCCGAGUUGUAAUUUGUAGAAGAUGCUUCGGGUGUGGCUCCGGUCUAAGUUCCUUGGAACAGGACGUCAUAGAGGGUGAGAAUCCCGUAUGUGACCGGCUGCCUCCGCCCGUGUGAAGCUCUUUCGACGAGUCGAGUUGUUUGGGAAUGCAGCUCAAAAUGGGUGGUAAAUUUCAUCUAAAGCUAAAUAUUGGCCAGAGACCGAUAGCGCACAAGUAGAGUGAUCGAAAGAUGAAAAGCACUUUGGAAAGAGAGUUAAACAGUACGUGAAAUUGUUGAAAGGGAAGCGCUUGCAAUCAGACUUGCGCGCGGCUGAUCAUCCGGGGUUCUCCCCGGUGCACUCGGCCGCGCUCAGGCCAGCAUCGGUUUCGGUGGUUGGAUAAAGGCCUUGGGAAUGUGGCUCCUUUCGGGGAGUGUUAUAGCCCUCGGCGCAAUGCAGCCCACCGGGACCGAGG
rnacentral:rRNA from 1 species